UCAAACUUGGUCAUUUAGAGGAAGUAAAAGUCGUAACAAGGUAACCGUAGGUGAACCUGCGGUUGGAUCAUUACUGAACUGCGGGAAAAGAAUUGAACCCCCUCCUUGUGUGAACUGUUAUUAUUUCUUUGGUGGCCCACAAACAUGUUGGCGCGUCCUCCCUAAAAAAGGACGCGACUUCGGGCCACCUAACUGUUAUCAAAUUCUUGUUUGAUGUAUAUCUUACAUGAUUGUAUGAGUUGAAUCUCCAAUAAACAAAAAACAACUUUUGACAAUGGAUCUCUUGGCUCUUGCAUCGAUGAAGAACGCAGC
rnacentral:misc_RNA from 1 species